AACUAUCACUUUGAGUUGACCAAUCACGUCAGCGGCCUGUGUCGCAUGACACACUGUACGAACUAAUCAUGCCCCUGAACCGAUUUAAACAGACGUGAGUUCUUGGUCCGUGGUUAUUUUCGAAUGACAAUUGUUAGAAACGCGCCUUCUAUGCUUUAUCGUUCA